GAGAAAGGAGAGAAGUAGUGUGAAUUGCAGAAUUCAGUGAAUCAUCGAAUCUUUGAACGCACAUUGCGCCCUUUGGUAUUCCAAAGGGCAUGCCUGUUCGAGCGUCAUUUGUACCCUCAAGCUUUGCUUGGUGUUGGGCGUCUUGUCUCUAGCUUUGCUGGAGACUCGCCUUAAAGUAAUUGGCAGCCGGCCUACUGGUUUCGGAGCGCAGCACAAGUCGCACUCUCUAUCAGCAAAGGUCUAGCAUCCAUUAAGCCUUUUUUUCAACUUUUGACCUCGGAUCAGGUAGAGAUACCCGCUGAACUUAAGC
rnacentral:misc_RNA from 1 species